AGCGAACGCUGGCGGCAGGCCUAACACAUGCAAGUCGGGCGCCCCGCAAGGGGAGCGGCAGACGGGAGAGUAACACGUGGGAACGUACCCUUCAGUUCGGAACAACCAAGGGAAACUUUGGCUAAUACCGAAUACGUCCGUAAGGAGAAAGAUUUAUCGCUGAAGGAUCGGCCCGCGUCUGAUUAGCUAGUUGGUGGGGUAACGGCCCACCAAGGCGACGAUCAGUAGCUGGUCUGAGAGGAUGAUCAGCCUCACUGGGACUGAGACACGGCCCAGACUCCUACGGGAGGCAGCAGUGGGGAAUAUUGGACAAUGUGCGCAAGCCUGAUCCAGCCAUGCCGCGUGGAUGAUGAAGGCCCUAGGGUUGUAAAGUCCUUUCGGCGGGGAAGAUAAUGACGGUACCCGCAGAAGAAGCCCCGGCUAACUUCGUGCCAGCCGCCGCCGUAAUAC
rnacentral:rRNA from 1 species